rnacentral:SRP_RNA from 1 species
ACCGGGUAAGUCCUACACGACCAGCUCGCCCGGAACUCCGCCAGGUCUUGAUCGAAGCAACGGUACGGGUUUGAGCGGUGCGAUGUAGAUAGCUUACCCU